rfam:Cryptosporidium parvum Iowa II chromosome 8, whole genome shotgun sequence.
AAACUUACCUGGCCGGCGCUCGGGGUCGCUCAAGAAUGACCCUGUCGUAAUCCUGAGCAGGGCAUUGCACUCCGCUGUCUGUGAAGGGUUAUGGAUUGAUCAAUGAUCAAUUCCAACGGCGAAAUUUCUGGCAGCGGCGACCACGCCGGUGGUCGCCAA